rnacentral:rRNA from 1 species
UACGGAGGGUGCAAGCGUUAAUCGGAAUUACUGGGCGUAAAGCGUGCGUAGGCGGUUCGUUAAGUCUGCUGUGAAAGCCCCGGGCUCAACCUGGGAAUUGCAUUCGAGACUGAAUAGCUAGGGUACGGUAGAGGGAAGUGGAAUUUCCGGUGUAGCGGUGAAAUGCGUAGAUAUCGGAAGGAACAUCAGUGGCGAAAGCGACUUCCUGGACCAGUACCGACGUUCAGGCACGAAAGCGUGGGGAGCAAACAGG